rnacentral:snRNA from 1 species
AUACUUACCUGGCAGGGAAGAUACCAUGAUCAUGAAGGUGGUUUUCCCAGGUUGAGGCUCGCCCAUUGCACUUUGGGUAUACUGAUCCCUAUGAUUUCCCCAAAUGUGGUAAACUUGACUGCAUUAUUUGUGAUAGUGAGGGACUGCGUUUCUGCUUUCCCAUG